rnacentral:rRNA from 1 species
GACGAACGCUGGCGGCGUGCUUAACACAUGCAAGUCGAACGGAAAGGCCCUGCUUUUGUGGGGUGCUCGAGUGGCGAACGGGUGAGUAACACGUGAGUAACCUGCCCUUGACUUUGGGAUAACUUCAGGAAACUGGGGCUAAUACCGGAUAGGAGCUCCUGCUGCAUGGUGGGGGUUGGAAAGUUUCGGCGGUUGGGGAUGGACUCGCGGCUUAUCAGCUUGUUGGUGGGGUAGUGGCUUACCAAGGCUUUGACGGGUAGCCGGCCUGAGAGGGUGACCGGCCACAUUGGGACUGAGAUACGGCCCAGACUCCUACGGGAGGCAGCAGUGGGGAAUAUUGCACAAUGGGCGGAAGCCUGAUGCAGCAACGCCGCGUGCGGGAUGACGGCCUUCGGGUUGUAAACCGCUUUCGCCUGUGACGAAGCGUGAGUGACGGUAAUGGGUAAAGAAGCACCGGCUAACUACGUGCCAGCAGCCGCGGUGAUACGUAGGGUGCGAGCGUUGUCCGGAUUUAUUGGGCGUAAAGGGCUCGUAGGUGGUUGAUCGCGUCGGAAGUGUAAUCUUGGGGCUUAACCCUGAGCGUGCUUUCGAUACGGGUUGACUUGAGGAAGGUAGGGGAGAAUGGAAUUCCUGGUGGAGCGGUGGAAUGCGCAGAUAUCAGGAGGAACACCAGUGGCGAAGGCGGUUCUCUGGGCCUUUCCUGACGCUGAGGAGCGAAAGCGUGGGGAGCGAACAGGCUUAGAUACCCUGGUAGUCCACGCUGUAAACGGUGGGUACUAGGUGUGGGGUCCACUCCACGGGUUCCGUGCCGUAGCUAACGCUUUAAGUACCCCGCCUGGGGAGUACGGCCGCAAGGCUAAAACUCAAAGGAAUUGACGGGGCCCCGCACAAGCGGCGGAGCAUGCGGAUUAAUUCGAUGCAACGCGUAGAACCUUACCUGGGUUUGACAUGGAUCGGGAGUGCUCAGAGAUGGGUGUGCCUCUUUUGGGGUCGGUUCACAGGUGGUGCAUGCCUGUCGUCAGCUCGUGUCGUGAGAUGUUGGGUUAAGUCCCGCAACGAGCGCAACCCUUGUUCACUGUUGCCAGCACGUUAUGGUGGGGACUCAGUGGAGACCGCCGGGGUCAACUCGGAGGAAGGUGGGGAUGACGUCAAGUCAUCAUGCCCCUUAUGUCCAGGGCUUCACGCAUGCUACAAUGGCUGGUACAGAGAGUGGCGAGCCUGUGAGGGUGAGCGAAUCUCGGAAAGCCGGUCUCAGUUCGGAUUGGGGUCUGCAACUCGACCUCAUGAAGUCGGAGUCGCUAGUAAUCGCAGAUCAGCAACGCUGCGGUGAAUACGUUCCCGGGGCU